GGGUCAUACACCAAGGGGACCCUUGCCCUCGAAACGCUUACAUUCGGGCGGACAGUGGUCCGCAAUGUGGCCAUCGGGUGCGGGCACAGGAACCGAGGCAUGUUUGUUGGAGCGGCCGGACUACUAGGCCUCGGAGGGGGAUCAUGUCUCUGGUGGGACAAUUGGGAGGUCAAACUGGCGGUGCAUUUAGUUACUGUUUAGUGAGUCGGGGAAGCGAAGUUUCUGGAUCAUUGGAAUUUGGGCGUGGAGCAAUGCCCGUGGGUGCUGCUUGGAUUCCUCUGAUCCGUAACCCACGGGCCCCAAGCUUCUAUUAUAUCGGGCUUUCGGGUCUAGGAGUCGGAGGCAUGAAGGUGCCCAUAUCAGAAGAAGUUUUUCAGUUGAAUGAAGUGGGCAAUGGGGGAGUUGUUAUGGACACUGGGACUGCUGUCACUAGACUUCCUACGGUGGCUUACGUGGCAUUCCGUAAUGCUUUUAUCGCACAAACUGGAAACCUCCCUCGGGCUUCCGGCAUAUCCAUAUUCGAUACUUGUUAUAACCUAUUUGGGUUUGUGUCGGUUCGGGUACCAACCGUCUCAUUCUAUUUCUCGGGCGGGCCAAUCCUGACCCUUCCAGCAAACAACUUUCUGAUUCCAGUGGAUGACGUGGGGACAUAUUGUUUUGCGUUUGCAGC
rnacentral:misc_RNA from 1 species